rnacentral:rRNA from 1 species
UCCGAGGGAGGCAAUCGUUGUCCGGAAUCACUGGGCGUAAAGCGCCCGUAGGCGGAGAUGCAAGUCACUGGUGCAACCCUGUGGCCCAACCGGAGGAAUGCCAGUGAAACUGCAGGUCUAGAGGGUGGGAGAGGCGGACGGAAUUCCGAGAGUAGAGGUGAAAUGCGUAGAUACUGGGAAGAACACCGGAGGCGAAAGCGGCCCGCUGGACCGAAACUGACGCUGAGGUGCGAAAGCGUGGGGAGCAAAUGGG